AGUGAACGCUGGCGGUAGGCCUAACACAUGCAAGUCGAACGGCAGCACAGUAAGAGCUUGCUCUUACGGGUGGCGAGUGGCGGACGGGUGAGGAAUACAUCGGAAUCUACUUUUUCGUGGGGGAUAACGUAGGGAAACUUACGCUAAUACCGCAUACGACCUACGGGUGAAACCAGGGGAUCUUCGGACUUUGCGCGAUUGAAUGAGCCGAUGUCGGAUUAGCUAGUUGGCGGGGUAAAGGCCCACCAAGGCGACGAUCCGUAGCUGGUCUGAGAGGAUGAUCAGCCACACUGGAACUGAGACACGGUCCAGACUCCUACGGGAGGAAGCAGUGGGGAAUAUUGGACAAUGGGCGCAAGCCUGAUCCAGCCAUACCGCGUGGGUGAAGAAGGCCUUCGGGUGUUAAAGCCCUUUUGUUGGGAAAGAAAAGCAGCAGGUUAAUACCCCGCUGUUCUGACGGUACCCAAAGAAUAAGCACCGGCUAACUUCGUG
rnacentral:rRNA from 1 species